GUGGGGAAUUUUGGACAAUGGGCGAAAGCCUGAUCCAGCCAUGCCGCGUGCAGGAUGAAGGCCUUCGGGUUGUAAACUGCUUUUGUACGGAACGAAACGGUCCGGGUUAAUACCCUGGGCUAAUGACGGUACCGUAAGAAUAAGCACCGGCUAACUACGUGCCAGCAGCCGCGGUAAUACGUAGGGUGCAAGCGUUAAUCGGAAUUACUGGGCGUAAAGCGUGCGCAGGCGGUUAUAUAAGACAGAUGUGAAAUCCCCGGGCUCAACCUGGGAACUGCAUUUGUGACUGUAUAGCUAGAGUACGGUAGAGGGGGAUGGAAUUCCGCGUGUAGCAGUGAAAUGCGUAGAUAUGCGGAGGAACACCGAUGGCGAAGGCAAUCCCCUGGACCUGUACUGACGCUCAUGCACGAAAGCGUGGGGAGCAAACAGGAUUAGAAACCCUUGUAGUCC
rnacentral:rRNA from 1 species